rnacentral:piRNA from 1 species
CUAAACUGUAGUUUACCCUGCCCACCCUG